UACGUAGGGUGCGAGCGUUGUCCGGAAUUAUUGGGCGUAAAGAGCUCGUAGGCGGUGUGUCACGUCGGCCGUGAAAACCUGCAGCUUAACUGUGGGCGUGCGGUCGAUACGGGCAUCACUUGGAGUUCGGCAGGGGAGACUGGAAUUCCUGGUGUAGCGGUGAAAUGCGCAGAUAUCAGGAGGAACACCGAUGGCGAAGGCAGGUCUCUGGGCCGAUACUGACGCUGAGGAGCGAAAGCGUGGGGAGCGAACAGG
rnacentral:rRNA from 1 species